rnacentral:rRNA from 1 species
UACAGAGGGUGCAAGCGUUGCUCGGAAUUAUUGGGCGUAAAGGGCAGGUAGGUGGUCUCGUUUGUCGCGGGUGAAAUCCCUGAGCUUAACUCAGGAAGUGCCCUCGAAACGGCGAGACUAGAGUUCUGGAGAGGGUCGUGGAAUUCCCGGUGUAGCGGUGAAAUGCGUAGAGAUCGGGAGGAACACCAGAGGCGAAAGCGGCGACCUGGACAGAUACUGACACUCAACUGCGAAAGCGUGGGGAGCAAACAGG